rnacentral:sRNA from 1 species
ACUUUUUCCAGGGGCGAGGGUCGCGGAGGGGACAGCGUCAGGGCCGCUGGGGUGGGGACGGCGGGCGAGGCGCAAACUUUACUAGGAGUUUUUGGCACUUGGAGGCAGAUCCUGUUGGGCGGCACAGCACGCCCGCUGGGAAACGCAGGGGAGCGGCCUGCUUCGCUGAAAACCCGACCAGGACCUAACGGGCCGCGGGACAGAAACCUCCGAGACCAUGGUAUAGCUGUGGACCAACUGUAUAUGAUCAUGCGCACCUUGGCCAUGCUUGCUCAUAUGUUAGAUUUGAUAUCAUUCGAAGGAUCCUAACCAAGGUUUUUGGAUGCAACAUAGUCAUGGUGAUGGGUAUUACAGAUGUAGAUGAUAAAAUCAUCAAAAGAGCCAAUGAGAUGAAUAUUUCCCCCGCUUCCCUCGCCAGUCUUUAUGAGGAAGACUUCAAGCAGGACAUGGCAGCCCUGAAGGUUCUCCCACCCACGGUGUACCUGAGGGUAACCGAAAAUAUUCCUCAGAUAAUUUCUUUCAUUGAAGGAAUCAUUGCUCGUGGGAACGCUUAUUCAACGGCAAAAG